UUUAUGGAGAGUUUGAUCCUGGCUCAGGAUGAACGCUGGCGGCGUGCCUAAUACAUGCAAGUCGAGCGAACGGACGAGAAGCUUGCUUCUCUGAUGUUAGCGGCGGACGGGUGAGUAACACGUGGAUAACCUACCUAUAAGACUGGGAUAACUUCGGGAAACCGGAGCUAAUACCGGAUAAUAUUUUGAACCGCAUGGUUCAAAAGUGAAAGACGGUCUUGCUGUCACUUAUAGAUGGAUCCGCGCUGCAUUAGCUAGUUGGUAAGGUAACGGCUUACCAAGGCAACGAUGCAUAGCCGACCUGAGAGGGUGAUCGGCCACACUGGAACUGAGACACGGUCCAGACUCCUACGGGAGGCAGCAGUAGGGAAUCUUCCGCAAUGGGCGAAAGCCUGACGGAGCAACGCCGCGUGAGUGAUGAAGGUCUUCGGAUCGUAAAACUCUGUUAUUAGGGAAGAACAUAUGUGUAAGUAACUGUGCACAUCUUGACGGUACCUAAUCAGAAAGCCACGGCUAACUACGUGCCAGCAGCCGCGGUAAUACGUAGGUGGCAAGCGUUAUCCGGAAUUAUUGGGCGUAAAGCGCGCGUAGGCGGUUUUUUAAGUCUGAUGUGAAAGCCCACGGCUCAACCGUGGAGGGUCAUUGGAAACUGGAAAACUUGAGUGCAGAAGAGGAAAGUGGAAUUCCAUGUGUAGCGGUGAAAUGCGCAGAGAUAUGGAGGAACACCAGUGGCGAAGGCGACUUUCUGGUCUGUAACUGACGCUGAUGUGCGAAAGCGUGGGGAUCAAACAGGAUUAGAUACCCUGGUAGUCCACGCCGUAAACGAUGAGUGCUAAGUGUUAGGGGGUUUCCGCCCCUUAGUGCUGCAGCUAACGCAUUAAGCACUCCGCCUGGGGAGUACGACCGCAAGGUUGAAACUCAAAGGAAUUGACGGGGACCCGCACAAGCGGUGGAGCAUGUGGUUUAAUUCGAAGCAACGCGAAGAACCUUACCAAAUCUUGACAUCCUUUGACAACUCUAGAGAUAGAGCCUUCCCCUUCGGGGGACAAAGUGACAGGUGGUGCAUGGUUGUCGUCAGCUCGUGUCGUGAGAUGUUGGGUUAAGUCCCGCAACGAGCGCAACCCUUAAGCUUAGUUGCCAUCAUUAAGUUGGGCACUCUAAGAUGACUGCCGGUGACAAACCGGAGGAAGGUGGGGAUGACGUCAAAUCAUCAUGCCCCUUAUGAUUUGGGCUACACACGUGCUACAAUGGACAAUACAAAGGGCAGCGAAACCGCGAGGUCAAGCAAAUCCCAUAAAGUUGUUCUCAGUUCGGAUUGUAGUCUGCAACUCGACUACAUGAAGCUGGAAUCGCUAGUAAUCGUAGAUCAGCAUGCUACGGUGAAUACGUUCCCGGGUCUUGUACACACCGCCCGUCACACCACGAGAGUUUGUAACACCCGAAGCCGGUGGAGUAACCUUUUAGGAGCUAGCCGUCGAAGGUGGGACAAAUGAUUGGGGUGAAGUCGUAACAAGGUAGCCGUAUCGGAAGGUGCGGCUGGAUCACCUCCUUU
rnacentral:rRNA from 1 species